ACCAAGUCUGUUAUGCCAUACAAUACCCUCUGAAUUCUCUGUUUGUGCCAUUAAACCUUGCUCCACAUGCCUGACCUUUUCUGAAAGAUGACUGGGAAAGUAAUAAAUGCCUCCCCUCUCUUUACCAGUCCCCUUCACCUUCUCAUUGAAGAGGUCCUGAAAUACACAGUGCUUAGGAAAAAAGGUUACAAAACAAUUCAGUUGCCUGGUCAAUUGAGAUACUGAAAGUAGGUCAAACUUAAACUCAGGGACAACCAAUACAUUAUUCAAGACUUCACCAG
rnacentral:lncRNA from 1 species